GACGAACGCUGGCGGCGUGCUUAACACAUGCAAGUCGAACGGAAAGGCCCUGCUUUUGUGGGGUGCUCGAGUGGCGAACGGGUGAGUAACACGUGAGUAACCUGCCCUUGACUUUGGGAUAACUUCAGGAAACUGGGGCUAAUACCGGAUAGGAGCUCCUGCUGCAUGGUGGGGGUUGGAAAGUUUCGGCGGUUGGGGAUGGACUCGCGGUUUAUCAGCUUGUUGGUGGGGUAGUGGCUUACCAAGGCUUUGACGGGUAGCCGGCCUGAGGGAGUGACCGGCCACAUUGGGACUGAGAUACGGCCCAGACUCCUACGGGAGGCAGCAGUGGGGAAUAUUGCACAAUGGGCGGAAGCCUGAUGCAGCAACGCCGCGUGCGGGAUGACGGCCUUCGGGUUGUAAACCGCUUUCGCCUGUGACGAAGCGUGAGUGACGGUAAUGGGUAAAGAAGCACCGGCUAACUACGUG
rnacentral:rRNA from 1 species